UACGUAGGGUGCAAGCGUUGUCCGGAAUUAUUGGGCGUAAAGAGCUCGUAGGCGGUUUGUCACGUCGGCUGUGAAAACUCGGGGCUCAACCCCGAGCCUGCAGUCGAUACGGGCAGACUAGAGUGCUGUAGGGGAGACUGGAAUUCCUGGUGUAGCGGUGAAAUGCGCAGAUAUCAGGAGGAACACCGGUGGCGAAGGCGGAUCUCUGGGCCUUGCCUGACGCUGAGGCGCGAAAGCUAGGGGAGCGAACAGG
rnacentral:rRNA from 1 species